rnacentral:lncRNA from 1 species
UACACGACUAUCAUAUCAGAUUUUCACUCACUUUUCUACCUUCAUUAAGUACCAGUGGCUUAAUCCAGUGCAGGGACAUAUUCCAUAAACAACACUGUUAACAACUCAAACAUUUACAUUUAUAUAUUUUUGCCAAGAAUAUUCUAUCCGACUUAAAAAACACAAACAUGGUUGCUUCUAUUGUCAUUGAUAAUGGAUCAUAUACAUGUAAAGCUGGUUUUGGAGGUGAAUAUGAAGACAGAGAAGUGUUUCUUUCAGUUGUUAGUCAUCCUAGAAACAAGGCUGGAAUGGAAGACAAUUGCCACUAUAUUGGAAAUCAAACUGUACGUC